ensembl:lncRNA
GAAAGGAAGCCAUCAUUCUGGCACCAAGAAAAAGGAGAAACUGACCUCAAGCCAGAGUGUCCAUGCCAAUGGAGUGGCAACAGAGUCCAAAGCUGCUGUCAGGAGAAACCCCAAAAACAACAAGAAAGCAGGCGGGAAAAGUGGGAAAGAAGGGACAAAGAAAACAAACAGCUCCAGAGUGUGCUCCCCACCUGGCAUGAUGAGCCCACAGAUGGGACACCACUUUCCCGAAGUGCCGUACAGAUCAGACAGGAGGCCCUACCCGGGUAAAUUCUCCACCCUCCCCUCUCAGGAGAACGCAACCCCGGGGCGAUGCCCCGACAUGGCCAGCCUUCCCGGUGGAGCGACCCCCACCCACCACCAGCGCUGGAGUAACCCUGCUGACAGCAGUCUAGCCUGGGGGACCGUACAGCACACCUGCCGCAGGCCUCUCACAGAGUAU